rnacentral:rRNA from 1 species
UGCCUUAGUACGGCGAGUGAGCGGCAAAGCUCAAAUUUGAAAUCUGGUACCUUUGGUGCCCGAGUUGUAAUUUGGAGAGUACCACUUUGGGACUGUACUUUGCCUAUGUUCCUUGGAACAGGACGUCAUGGAGGGUGAGAAUCCCGUGUGGCGAGGGUGUCAGUUCUUUGUAAAGGGUGCUCGAAGAGUCGAGUUGUUUGGGAAUGCAGCUCUAAGUGGGUGGUAAAUUCCAUCUAAAGCUAAAUACAGGCGAGAGACCGAUAGCGAACAAGUACAGUGAUGGAAAGAUGAAAAGAACUUUGAAAAGAGAGUGAAAAAGUACGUGAAAUUGUUGAAAGGGAAGGGCAUUUGAUCAGACAUGGUGUUUUGCGCCCCUUGCCUCUCGUGGGCUUGGGACUCUCGCAGCUCACUGGGCCAGCAUCGGUUUUGGCGGCCGGAAAAAACCUAGGGAA